GAUGAACGCUAGCGGGAGGCUUAAUACAUGCAAGUCGAGCGGUAGGUGGCUUCGGCCAUUGAGAGCGGCGCACGGGUGAGUAACACGUACAUGACCUACCUGUCAGAAGGGGAUAGCCCUGGGAAACUGGGAUUAAUACCCUAUGGUAUUACGAAUGUAAAGGUUUGUAAUUAAAGCUGAGGUGCUGACAGAUGGAUGUGCGUCUGAUUAGCUAGUUGGUGGGGUAAAGGCCUACCAAGGCGACGAUCAGUAGGGGGCGUGAGAGCGUGAACCCCCACACGGGUACUGAGACACGGACCCGACUCCUACGGGAGGCAGCAGUAAGGAAUAUUGGUCAAUGCCCGACAGGGUGAACCAGCCAUUCCGCGUGGAGGAUGAAGGCCCUAUGGGUUGUAAACUUCUUUUAGAUGGGAAUAAAAUGCCCUUUGCGAAGGGUACUGAAGGUACCAUCAGAAUAAGCACCGGCUAACUCCGUG
rnacentral:rRNA from 1 species